GGUAAGGUGGCCGAGUAGGCAUUAGACUGUAAAUCUAAAGACAGAGGUUUAACCCUCUUCUUACC
rnacentral:tRNA from 1 species